GCUUAUGUCAGCUCAAAUUCGGCUUGAAAUUAAUUUCGAGCCUAAAUCUAGGCUCAAGCUCGGCUUGAAAUUAAUUCGAGCCGAGCUCGAGCGAGCCUAAUUUCGAGUCGAGCCGAGCUCGAGCUCUAAACGAGCCGAUUGAAAUUCUCAACAUUAUAUAAUCAAUAGUUUAAUUUUUAUAGAACAUUAUCUAUAAUUUGAUGCAACAUGUUCAAUAGUUCAAAAUACAAAAUAAUUGUAAGAAAUGUGAGCUAGGGUGACUGCCUGACUGGGUGAGGGUCAGAGAGAGAGAGAGAGAGAGAGAGGGAAAAAAAAUUAGAGAUUUGGGAAUUUGAAUGUUAUCAUGUUUUAGGGUUAUGUGCAACAGUGAAAGUCUGAAAGAGAGAGUAUGUUAUGUAAAUUUAGAGUUGGGCUCAAUUGCACGAUUGUACUUGUUGGGUUUAUUUUAUAGGCCAACAAUAAUGACCCAAAUUAAAUUAAAGCCUAUAUAUAUAUUUUCGAGCUUUCGAGCUUUUCGAGCCUAAUUCGAACGAGCCGAGUAAUACUCAAGCUCGGCUUGAAAUGAAUUUCGAGCCUUUUAUUUUGUUCAAGCUCGGCUCAUUUAAUUUCGAGUCGAGCUCGAGCGAGCCAAAUAUCGAGCCGAACACGAGUCGAACGCGAGCCGGC
rnacentral:lncRNA from 1 species